rnacentral:rRNA from 1 species
AUUGAACGCUGGCGGAAUGCUUUACACAUGCAAGUCGAGCGGCAGCGCGGGGGCAACCCUGGCGGCGAGCGGCGAACGGGUGAGUAAUACAUCGGAACGUGUCCUUAAGUGGGGGAUAGCUCGGCGAAAGCCGGAUUAAUACCGCAUAAGCCCUGAGGAGGAAAGCGGGGGCUCCGUAAGGACCUCGCGCUGUUGGAGCGGCCGAUGUCGGAUUAGCUAGUUGGUGGGGUAAAGCCCACCAAGGCGACGAUCCGUAGCUGGUCUGAGAGGAUGAUCAGCCACACUGGAACUGAGACACGGUCAGACU